rnacentral:tRNA from 1 species
GGAGAGGUACCCAAGAGGCUGAAGGGGCGGGUUUGCUAAACCUGUAGGGUGACUCACGUUGCCGCGAGGGUUCGAAUCCCUCCCUCUCCGCCA